rnacentral:rRNA from 1 species
GACGAACGCUGGCGGCGUGCUUAACACAUGCAAGUCGAACGGAAAGGCCUGCUUUCCCUUGUGGAUUGCGGGUACUCGAGUGGCGAACGGGUGAGUAACACGUGAGUGAUCUGCCCCCAACUUGGGUAUAAGCCUGGGAAACUGGGUCUAAUUCCCGAUAGGACUGCAGGGUGGUGCCUGUGGUGGAAAACGAUUUUCUAGUGGUUGGGGAUGAGCUCGCGGCCUAUCAGCUUGUUGGUGGGGUAAUGGCCUACCAAGGCGGGGACGGGUAGCCGGCCUGGGAGAGUGGACGGCCACAGUGGGACGGAGAUACGGCGCAGACGACUACGGGAGGAAGCAGUGGGGAAUAUUACGCAAUGGGCGGUAGCCUAAGGUAGCGACGCCGCGGGGGGGAUGACGGCCUUGGGGUUGUAAACUCCUGGCGACCGCGAGGAAGCCACCUGGUUGGAAGGGUGGUGACGGUAGUGGUAGAAGAAGCACCGGCUAACUACGUG